UGAGCUGAAUACAGGUGAUGUCGUCGA
rnacentral:piRNA from 1 species